UGAACCCAGUGGCUGCCAUGGUCCUCUUC
rnacentral:piRNA from 1 species